rnacentral:rRNA from 1 species
GAUGAACGCUGGCGGCGUGCCUAAUACAUGCAAGUCGAGCGAACAGACGAGGAGCUUGCUCCUCUGACGUUAGCGGCGGACGGGUGAGUAACACGUGGAUAACCUACCUAUAAGACUGGGAUAACUUCGGGAAACCGGAGCUAAUACCGGAUAAUAUAUUGAACCGCAUGGUUCAAUAGUGAAAGACGGUUUUGCUGUCACUUAUAGAUGGAUCCGCGCCGCAUUAGCUAUUUGGUAAGGUAACGGCUUACCAAGGCAACGAUGCGUAGCCGACCUGAGAGGGGUAUCGGCCACACUGGAAUGGGAACAGGGUCCGAACCCCGAGGGGGGGAAGAGGGAGGGAAUUUUCCGCAAUGGGCGAAAGCCUGACGGGACAACGCCGGUGGGGGGAAGAAGGUUUUCGGAACGAAAAACUCUGUUAUGGGGGAAAAAAAAAUGUGAAAGUAACUAUGAACGUUUUGACGGUACCAAAAAAGAAAGCCACGGCAAACUACGU